CAGCAAAACAUUUAUUAAGGUCAGGAUGCAUGAAGAGACUCUUCUUCACAGAAAGAUAACUCAACAGCCAAUGAAUUUAUAGAAUUUACAGCACCACCACAUUUCAGCAAAAUGCAACUGAGGACAUCAGACACAUUCUAGUGAUUUGUUUUUAAAAAUCCGUUAAAUUCUGUCUUACCUCUGCAAUAAAGUAUCAUAAAUGCAGUUAAAGAAGUUAGUAGGAAAACGUGUGAUCUUCCUUCCCCCUCUCUGCCCAUCCAUCUUCCAGGAAACCACAGGGGGUUGCUGACCAGACUUGGCACGAGGCUUCGAGGCUGCUGCUUUUCCCCCUACAUCAUAACCGAUUUCAAAUGGUGCUAGACAAAAACAGACUCUGAACACCAGGAGAAAUCGGUCAGCCUGUGUAAGAGAUGGGUCCAGUGGUGCUCCUGGGGGGCCGCACUUGACAGUGCAGGUGGCAAGUCUGAUUUCAGCUGGGCUGCAACGGCAGCUCAAUGUUCCAGGGCAUCUAGGAGCAGGCUGACAGUUCUGAUGUGGAUGAAACAGUCCUGCAGGUACACAGCCCUCUCCCCCUCCCUAGUACAAUCAAGUACUCAAUCCAGCAUUUCCCCAUCGCUGUGCUCAAAGGCCCUACCAACAGGUUACUACUGGUGGCUGCUGCCAUCUGUCAACAGAAAAGAGUAUCGCAACCUCUGCCCCUGCUCCAACCACUGGAUGUCUUUCAAAUACAAACCCCUCCCUGCACUGUCACCCCUCCACACUCAACAGUGUAUUCUGCUUUUCAAGUUCUUCCUUUCUUGAACCAGCUCAGGUGGCAGGAGGAGGGGAGCCAGUCCCACAAGCAGCAGCUCCUCUGCGGUUGGCCCUUUGCUGUGCUGCAAUUCUUACUCCUAAAACACUGAUUUCAAAUGGUGCUAGAUACAAAGAUGGAAAAAUCUAAGCCACCAUGUGAAACCAGCUUCCAGAAGAAGAGGAUCUCACUGAAGAAAGGAGAUGCGAUCGGAAGACCCAGCCUCUGCCCUGAGGAGAAAUGUCUUCUUGCAGUUCUACUUGUGACGUGAUAACAUAACGAUCCGUUAGAAAGGCAAAGAGGAGAGUUACACAGUGAUGCUCAAGGAAAAGGGAAGUCACGGCUGAUGCUUCACAUAGACAAUAGCAAUACAAAACUCAUGAAUCCUAGUUAAUUCUGUUUAAUGCCACCACCAGUCCCUACAAACUAUUAUAUAUAUGAUGGUGAAAUAAAAUGGCCAAAGCUGAAUUAAAAUGUGUGAAUAUUUACAUUAGUGUUGCCUACUUUGUAAAAUAGUUCACAAAUGCAAAGCGUUUUCCGAUUUUACUCACUUCAUCAGAAACCAGCACCCUGUCUGCCUAUGAGGCUCCAGCCACUCCACAAAGGUGAGUUUCACCUGGCCAGAGCAACUCUUCCAUGUGCCCAUUUCAGGAAGAGCAUGGGCUCCUCCUUCCAGCCAUGUGAGUGUCAGAACACUGGCAAUCUUAUUUCACCUCUGGUGUGACGCAAAAAUCCGGUGUCCUAAAAUUGUACUAAGUAGAUCAUCCUCUACCGCAAGAACUGAGUUUUGUUUUCAAAAUUUCCUAAAAAUAGGAUUUGCAAACUGUGCUUAAGUUUGAUUUCCCAUCUCUUUUGGUUGUUUGAAGCUAAGGAAACAUGGCUGUCUGUCCUCUGAUACCACAACCAAGACAAACAAGAGCCACACAGUAGAGUCUGUAUCUCUCACGUUUCCUACCAAUUCCUUAGGCCUCCAGAUACAGGCUUAUAUUUUUCAUGGCUCCUGGAAGUGACAGCAUGUGCUGUCUAGGGAAGAGAAGGAAAUAAACUCUGAACACCAAGUUGUGCUCUUUAAUUCUCACAAGAGUCCUGUGAGGCGGGUAUCAUUCCCAAUUUUUGCAGAAGAAACUGAUCCUUAACAUGGUUCAAAACCUUGUCCAGAGUCUCAGGACUAAUGAAUGGGGAAGAUCUUAGAUCUAACUCCAAAGUCUGUGUUCCUGCCCCUCUGCCCACUGCCACCUGCUCCACAGCUGUACUCUCAUCUCUGUCUGUUCUUGAACUUCACUAAGAGCAAGGCUGCUGGGGGCGGGGGCAUCCUAGGCAAUAUUUCUGCUUGGACGUGGGAUGUUACUCACUGCACACACAUUAAACUGGGGCGGAGAUGAGAGCAUGACUGCAAUUCCAAGGGGCCGGGUGGUUUGGGGUGACUUGUUUUGUUGUCCUGCACCUCUGGUGGCUUGCGGUCUCCAUAGCGUGGCUGUGGGAGUGGGGAAGACGCUGAGAUGAACCACCCCGCAAGGCCUGUGCUGGACUCCUCAGUGAUUCUGACACUGGCCCCAGGCGCGGGAGCCUGUGGGGCUUUGCAAGGCCUCAGCCACAGGUGGGAGAGCUGAGGGUCAGUUCUGCCCGCAGGGGCUGUGAGUGAGGACACCUGCAGCCACCAGCUGGGCCCUGUUAACCAGGUAACUGCUAGGGUUUUAAGGUGAGGAGUGAGUGUUAAAUGUCAUUACUGUGGGGUUCGAAUCCUAUAAAACAAAGGGGUUCAAGGAGAUCUACAUUUGGUAAUUCUGAGCUUUUCUGCUUCUUAUUUCAGUCAAACCCUUCUUCCUUAGCAACUUCCAACUGCCAGUAUCCACAAAACCCUUUCCUAAGGUGUCACGCAGGUCUCCUUCAGUCACGCAGACAGCAUCCCUCCUCCCACCAGAAGGCUCCUGCACACACUGGUCCCUCUUUCUGGAACACCCCCCAUCCACUCUCCCAUAACUGUGACCCUCCCACUCCCACCCCAAGUAACCCAGGUCGUCGGAAGUCCUCCCUGAGCUCUCAGCUCAGCACCCCCUUCCUCAGGAGAGCUUGCCCCGGGCUAGCCCGGCUUCCGGUUGGUGGCCCUCUCACACCCUCAAGUUCUUUUCCUUCAGAACACACUUAUGCCAUUUGGUCAUCCAGGUGAUUAGUUAAUGUCUUGCCUGUGACCCAGGAAGCCUCAGCCCAGAGCUGAGAGGGGCUGCACAGGGCAGAGGAGCAACUGUCACUGAGAGAACUAAGGGACUCGAACCAGCAUGCGGGCUCCCAGCUCCUGAGUUGUAAAAUACUCUUAGCUCUCUGGAAAAAGAGAUAAGAAAUCAUUAACAAUGCAUCGCUGUCAAUACUCUAAAAGAAGAGGAGGAAGAAAGUAAUCUUAGUACCAAAACCUUCUGCCCUUUCAAUCCCACUGGAUAAAAGGUUCUGUUCAGAUCUCAGCCCUCCCAACAGAACCAGGCUUCUCUCUCCAAGUCAGCUGGGCAAUGACUCACUUACCUGAAACAGGCUGGUGUUUUUGUUCCCGAGUUGGAUGUAGCUGGGUGUUUUGAUGGGGGCUGGGCAGGGCCUGCUCUCCCCAGCACCGAGCCCAAGGCACCCAGAUGGGUAAGAAGGCAGCCUGGGAAAGCCCCAGGCUACUGAGGGUUCACUGUCAAAGGCAGGUGGUGCGAUCCUCCCACCCUGACCUAAUGGCCCCAUGCAAACAGGCCAGUGGAAAAGGGCUUGGUAGGUUGCUGGGAAGGAAAACCACCCACCCAGAGGGGUGGGCAUGUCAGCCCUGGGAGGUGCCACCAUGCAGGAAGAGGGCUUGGGGAGCCCCACUGCAGCCCCGGUCCAUCUCUGGGCCCACAUCUGAUCUGGAGGUUUUCCUACCUGCUCAUGCCUAGGACAUUCCUCUGCCUGGGCAGGGACCUUACGGUGGAGGAAAGGUCACCACGGAGUGAAUCAGAAUACAGGGGCUUUAAUUCCCGCUCAGCCAAGACUCUCAGAACAGCGGCCUGCACCUCCGGGGAAUGGCCUCGGAGUGUUCACCUGAACAGAAAGGGGGCUGGCAGACUGGUCACUGCAUGCUCAAAUAUCGGGCCGGAAACUUAAGACAGAGAAGCAGUGACAGCAUGCAGCAGAAAGAAGUACAGUGACCUGGAGAGGCUGUGUUUUGUCUAAAGGCAUGCAAAAUCAGAUACAUUAACAAAAACCAAAACAACCCUGUGCCAGCCAAACAAAAAGAUCUGAGGGUUAAAUACAAUUCACGGGCCAUCAGCUAAAGAGCAGGCUGGAGAUGGAAAAGAGAGCUGCCACUUCAUUUUAUAAAGGAUGCUGUCUUUUUAAAGUCCUAAGAACCCUAUCUAUGCCCAGCACGGUACCCCAAAAAUAACAUGGGAGGCAAACGGGAAGGAGAGAAAUACUUGUUUAAGAAAUCCAGAAGCAAACCCCCAGAACAAACAGAUAUUCGCCCCCAGGAGCCUCAUGCUGCUGGCUUGUUCAGUGCUACCACAGUGUGUUCAAAUCCAGAAUGCUGGGAAGCUUCCUGCCAGGCAGCAGCUUCUCCCUCCCGGCCCGGCUGGGUGCUGAGUCACAGCUACUUACAUGACUGACGCAAGUUCCAGCCAGAGCGGGGGAGGGGUGCCGGAAGCAGAGCCCAGAUCAUCCAUCUUCCUGCCACUGGGAAUGCUGGUUUCAGGGCUCCUGGCAGGGAGGAAGAGUCAUCUUGGUGAGAGAGGAGCCUGGGGAAGGCCCUUUUGAAAAAGGGGAACGUUCUGCCCUCCAGACAGUCCCACACCAUUGUGUGUAUGAACUGAGAGGCCCAACCCAGCUUCCUGUCACUCUGGCUCUGGCCCAGGCCCAGUGUCCUGGACAUUUUGUCUUGAGUUGUCAGGGUGGGGCCUGUUGCCAACUAGCUGUGGUUACCGAAUCAGAGGAAAGGGUGAUAAAAUGAAGGGUAUGUGUAUGGGGGGCUGGAGUGAAGGGGAACAUGGAGCUGGCUCGCUCUCUCUGGCAGUGUGGCCCCCAAAAGGCGGGAUCAGCAUCCAGGGACCACCACACUUCCCAGACCCUGGAUCCCAAAGUGGGAAUAACACACUCCAGACCCAGUGAGCCCCUCAAAUGCCCAUUGAGGUAAGAGAGCCAGAAGUCACAGCUUUCUCAGUGACGUGGGCCCAGCAUCAGCUCUUCUGGUUUCCCUUGGGGCAGGGGUACGGAGGCCUAUGUUCCCAGGGAGCCGCUUUCCACAAAGUUAGGUUCUCUGUCCCUUCCUCAACAUCACUGGCAAAAACCAGGGCCUAGCGAUCUCCCAGACCCAGUAGAGGGCACAGAAGCCCUUGGUGGGAGUGGCUGGCAGGCUGGCACACCAUGGCUACUCUGCCCUUGGGAUGUCAUGGGGUGUGGGGAGCAGCAAGAGACAGUGGGGAGUGAAGGGAAGGAGAAGGGACGCAGUAAAGACAGGAGCAUGGAUGUCUGCAUGUUCCCCCAGAGAAUGGCUUAGCCCCAGUGGAGGAGGACGGGCGCAGCCGUGAAGUGCUUUCAAGGAAGCCAGUGCUUUCCCCAAAAGGAAAAGCGAGCAUGCCUACGGUCUAUUACACAAACACAAUGCCUACCACACAGUUCACAGGUCCAAACCAACGUGGAGCCAAAGGAAAACCACCAAUGUUGCUCCCCUGUCACUCCCAAAUCAUUUACUCAACUCAGUAAAGAUGGAUCAGAAGUGAAACUUCAGUCUCAAGUGAAAUCUAACUCUGCAGGUUGGGGGAGACAUGCCCCAGAGCCCAGCUUCCCCAUCUCCCCAGGCAGAGCUGGGUUGCCCCCUCCUUCAGGCGCCAAGAAGUAACUAGCGGAUGCAGUAUCCCACCAGGCACCCCACUCACAGGACCUCGUGCCUGCUUGCUGGGAGAAGCACGUUCCUGUCCCCAGGAGCCCCGCCAGAGGUGGGUCCCGGCCUCUGCAGCACAGCCCUCACUCCUCCUGGAGGGAGAGGAGAGCAUCUCCACAAGUCAGACAUCCUCCCCAGAGCAUGGCCCCCAGCAGGCUACCAGUAAGCCUGGGGCAUACCCACAAACCUCCAAGUGGCGGUUCUACCCAGUACCUGGGCACACACCUGGCAGAGCACAUGGACUGGGGCACACCUCGUGACAUGGUUCCACUUCCCUAGUUGGGGGAGGGAGGCUGGGUAGACAGAGGGUAGGUCCAGAGUCCAAAGCCAACUUAGAGCACCUUUCUCUCCUGCUUCCCCAGCAGCUGGCCCGGCUAGUAGCUGUACCUACACUGCUAUUCCAGUCUUAUUCUGUUAUCAGGCCCUCUGUCUGCCAGUCUCAGGACGUGGAACAGUGAGUGGAGCCCUCAGCAAAGAGGAUGCCAUGGUUCUCCCUGAAGUCUAGCAGAAUCACCCUCCCAGAAUCACCUUCCCACACUCCAGGCAAACGGAAAGA
rnacentral:lncRNA from 1 species